rnacentral:lncRNA from 1 species
AGGACCAUCUUCGGUCACCCUCUCCGACAUCUUCCUCUCCUUCUCCUGCCACAUCUUCACUUGAUGCCUCCCCGAAAGGCAUCCACCAAGCGAUCCACGACCUCCGUAGCUAGAUCUCAACGAGCUCCGCAAGCUCUGGCCUCGUCUCUAGUUUUCCAGGCUCCUCCUCCUUCGGCAACGGCAGUCGGCGUGGAGCAGUUUGACUUGCUGGUUUAGCAAGUCAAGGGCCUCACUGAAGUAGUGCAGGCCAUGCAGCAGCAGCUGCAGCAGCCGCAGGCAUCAGUG